GUGCAUUUCUGACGGACCUGGAACAGUUAAUAGCUACUGCUAAGGUUUCCACUAUAGAUGCAAGAAAAAGAAGGUCCUUGCGCUUUCUCUCUGCUUAGUUGUGGCAGCCAUGAUAGAAUGGAAUGGGGGAAUACAGAA
rnacentral:snoRNA from 1 species